GGUACAAGAAUAAAGCAAGCCUACGGGGAUAUUCAUUCAGAAUGCACACCCAGUCCCUAACAAUGUGCAGCUCUGGGACCACCUGAGCUACGGAUGGCUUUUCUGUGUUCAGUAGAAGACAGAUAGCAGACAUAUGACAGAGAAUCCUUCACUGUUCAGCACAGUUUUGUCACAUAUUUAGAAUCUGUCAUGGCGUGGGAAGAUUCUGACACAUGAAGCAAUGCUGUAUCUGAAGAGUUCAAUUCCCACAGGAGCUCUCUGGAGUUCAGCAUCUUUAUUGCUCUUCAAGAAGAUAAAAAGCAAACAGCAAAGGAAAACGAGCGAGGGAAGGAAGGUCCAAAUCCCCGCUGCAAGCUAAGAGCUCCUAUGGGAACCAAAACAACACAGGAAGGGCUGCAAUCCACAAAGCUUGGCUUCACUGAGCCCUGGCUA